rnacentral:rRNA from 1 species
CCUACGGGAGGCAGCAGUAGGGAAUCUUCCGCAAUGGACGAAAGUCUGACGGAGCAACGCCGCGUGAACGAUGAAGGCCUUCGGGUCGUAAAGUUCUGUUGUUAGGGAAGAACAAGUACCGGAGUAACUGCCGGUACCUUGACGGUACCUAACCAGAAAGCCACGGCUAACUACGUGCCAGCAGCCGCGGUAAUACGUAGGUGGCAAGCGUUGUCCGGAAUUAUUGGGCGUAAAGCGCGCGCAGGCGGUUCCUUAAGUCUGAUGUGAAAGCCCCCGGCUCAACCGGGGAGGGUCAUUGGAAACUGGGGAACUUGAGUACUGAAGAGGAAAGCGGAAUUCCACGUGUAGCGGUGAAAUGCGUAGAGAUGUGGAGGAACACCAGUGGCGAAGGCGGCUUUCUGGUCAGUAACUGACGCUGAGGCGCGAAAGCGUGGGGGGCAAACAGGAUUAGAUACCCUGGUAGUCCACGCCGUAAACGAUGAGUGCUAAGUGUUAGAGGGUUUCCGCCCUUUAGUGCUGCAGCAAACGCAUUAAGCACUCCGCCUGGGGAGUACGGUCGCAAGACUGAAACUCAAAGGAAUUGACGG